rnacentral:rRNA from 1 species
GACACCUACGGGCCGCAGCAGUGGGGAAUUUUGGACAAUGGGCGCAAUCCUGAUCCAGCUAUUCCGCGUGUGGGAUGACGGCCCUCGGGUUGUAGACCACUUUAGUAGAGAACGAAAAGGAGCUAUCGAAUAAAUAGCUCUGCUGACGGUACUCUAAGAAUAAGCACCGGCGAACUACGUGCCAGCAGCCGCGGUAAUACGUAGGGGGCGAGCGUUAAUCGGAAUUACUGGGCGUAAGGGGGGGGCAGGCGGCGGAGUAAGACAGAUGUGAAAUCCCCGGGCUUAACCUGGGAACCGCAUAUGUG